ACGAGCCGAUGGGUUCCGACAACAGCCGAUCACACGAACUGGCAGUCGCUCGGUUUUCUCCGCGCCAGACCGCAAUUUGCUAUACUACGCAACACCUGUGCCGUUCUCCUAAGCGAAACCGUUACGUACGCGCACUCCGCGUCUCGUUUAAAUACGUUGGAAGUUAAACACUAUAAUCUAUAUAACUUUUGGAUCCCGCUAGGGAUCAGAGCUACCUGAUUGACCCCAACCGUUACCAGUUCAGAAGACUGAAGACCUACGGGAAGUAACGUGUUACCUACCUACCCCUGCUGUCAAGAACUACCCUCAGACACUACCCGACAUAGUAUCUCUGCUGUGACCCUCGGAAGCUUCGCGGAUCAUCCUCAGGCCAGUGUCCUCCCUCACAUUAGACUAUCUCUCGGUCAGCUAUGUGCCAGGAAUAAGACAGAAUAAACAUCUUGUAAUCUUA